GAGCAUAAUCAUUUGUCUUUUAAUUGAGGUCUGGUAUGAAUGGUUGGAUGAGGGAUUUACUUUCUUUAUUAUAUAUAUAUAAUUUGAUUUUUAAGUUAAAAAGCUUAAAUUUAAUUAAAGGACGAGAAGACCCUAUAGAACUUUAUUAAACAUAUGUUUAAUAUUAUUUUGUGGAUAAUUAUUUUUAAAUAUAAUUUUAAUUAUGUUGGGGUGACAAAAAAAAAUUAAUAACUUUUUUUAUUUUAUCCACUUUUAAGUGCUUGUUUUAACCUAUUUUAUAGAAAAAAGAUUAAGUUACCUUAGGGAUAACAGCGUUAUUAUUUUAGAGAGUUCAUAUUGAUAAAAUAGUUUGCGACCUCGAUGUUGGAUUAAAAAUAGUUUCAGAGGCAGAAUGUUGUUUACUAGGUCUGUUCGACCUUUAAAUUUUUACAUGAUCUGAGU
rnacentral:rRNA from 1 species